AACGAACGCUGGCGGCGUGCUUAACACAUGCAAGUCGAACGGUGACCCUCGGAGCUUGCUUCGGGGUGAGCAGUGGCGAACGGGUGAGUAACACGUGAGUAACCUGCCCCUGACUCUGGAAUAAGCGCUGGAAACGGCGUCUAAUACCGGAUACGACACGCCUCCGCAUGGGGAGCGUGUGGAAAGUUUUUCGGUCUGGGAUGGACUCGCGGCCUAUCAGCUUGUUGGUGAGGUAAUGGCUCACCAAGGCGAUGACGGGUAGCCGGCCUGAGAGGGCGACCGGCCACACUGGGACUGAGACAAGGCCCAGACUCCUACGGGAGGCAGCAGUGGGGAAUAUUGCACAAUGGGCGAAAGCCUGAUGCAGCGACGCCGCGUGAGGGAUGACGGCCUUCGGGUUGUAAACCUCUUUCAGCAGGGAAGAAGCGAAAGUGACGGUACCUGCAGAAGAAGCACCGGCUAACUACGUGCCAGCAGCCGCAGUAAUAC
rnacentral:rRNA from 1 species